rnacentral:rRNA from 1 species
AUGAACGCUGGCGGCAUGCCUAACACAUGCAAGUCGAACGGACCGCAGGGUCAGUGGCGAACGGGUGAGUAACGCGUAGGAAUCUGCCCCGAACUGGGAGAAUAACGGCCAUAAGCCGGGUAAUGUCCCAUAGUCCCGCAAGGGUAAAGUCGUAAGACGGUUUGGGAGGAGCCUGCGUCCUAUCAGCUUGUUGGUGGGGUAAUGGCCUACCAAGGCAAUGACAGGUAGCUGGUCUGAGAGGAUGGUCAGCCACAAUGGGACUGAGACCACGGCCCAUACACCUACGGGUGGCAGCAGUUGGGAAUCGUUCACAAUGCGCGAAAGCGUGAUGACGCAAUGCCGCGUGGAGGAAGACGGCCUUCGGGUUGUAAACUUCUUUUCUCUGGGACGAUUAUGAUGGUACCAGAGGAAUAAGGGCCUGCUAACUACGUGCCAGCAGCCGCGGUAAUACGUAGGGCCCGAGCGUUAUCCGGUAUCAUUGGGCGUAAAGAGCGCGUAGGCGGUUUGGUAAGACAAUGGUUAAAUCUCCAUGCUCAACAUGGAAAUCGCCGUUGUGACUGCCAGACUUGACGAUAGCAGGGGCAAGCAGAAUUCUCGGGUGUAGGGGGUGAAAAUCCGUUGAGAUCGAGAGGAAUACCAAUGGCGAAGGCAGCUUGCUAGGCUAUAUGUGACGCUGAGGCGCGAAAGCGUGGGGAGCGAACGGGAUUAGAUACCCCGGUAGUCCACGCCGUAAACUAUGCACACUAGCUAUCAGAAGCAUCGACCCUUCUUGUAGCGAAGCUAACGCGUUAAGUGUGCCGCCCGUGGAGUACGGUCGCAAGACUGAAACAUAAAGGAAUUGACGGGGGAUCGCACAAGCGGUGGAGCAUGUGGUUUAAUUCGACGGCAAACGGAGAACCUUACCAGGGUUUGACAUCUACCGAAAGUCCUGGAAACAGGACCGUGCCCGCAAGGGAACGGUAAGACAGGUGUUGCACGGCCGCCGUCAGCUCGUGGCGUGAGCUGUGCCCUUAAGUGGGUGUAAACGAGCGAAACCCUCAUCGUCUGUUGGAUUUUUUCAGACGAGACUGCCCGAUUUUUCGGGAGGGAAGGUGGGGACGACGUCAGGUCAGCGUGGCCCUUACACCCUGGGCUACACACAUUGCUACAAUGGCACCGACAAAGGGUUUGCUAAGUCGCGAGGCGGAGCUAAUCCCAGUCAAAAGGUGCCCCAGUUCGGAUUGAAGGCUGCAACUCGCCUUCAUGAAGCCGGAAUCGCUAGUAACCGUGGGUCAGCUAUACCACGGUGAAUACGUUCUCGAUCCUUGUACACACGCCGCCCGUCAAGUCAGCCGAGUUGGCAAUGCCCGAAUUCUGAUUUUUUAUUCGGAACACGGUAGGGUCAGCACGGAGGACU